GUUCCAUAUAGCCUCGGCCGUUUCAGGUGGUAACCAGACACACCAGUCCGAAGUGCUGUGCAUCGAGGCAAUCCAGACGAUUCCGAGUAGUUAUGGGAGAGGUGGCCGAAGUUACCGAGGGGCGGUGUGACGUCGGGUUAGAUGAUCCAGCUGUCCUAUUAAUGAGAUGCGGCCAAGAAAGAACCAGGUGAAUGACCCAGAAGUGACACAGAUGCCAAAGGCCCUUUGGCUUACUCAGUGACAUACAGCUCGGAGAUGACGUCCCCAAGUGAAACAAUGAGAUGUUCUCUCCAGCAGCAUUCUACUUCAUUUCCGCCUCAUCCCGAUCAAGGUAUGGAAGGACAUUCGCAACAGACUUUCCAGAAGAUUCGGAGUCCCUCUGGAGUGAGUGAGCUUUGCAUGGAAUCUGGAAGCCCCUCCCAUUGUAAUUUUGGAAAAUAAGAAAAAAUGAAAAUAGAAAAAAGUGUAACGGUGACCAUGGUGUGAAAGGAUGUGAUACCAAACUUUACUUUGAGUAAAGCGUGAAGCAACAGUGGGUAUAAUGACCGUGAUGCUAUGAAGGAAGUAGACUGGAGAAAUUCGGAUAUUCGAAUAAUUCAUAAUUCCACCCUAAGGAAAACCUUCAGAUAUUGCUAAACUAUUGACAGACAUACCAAAAAAGCUUAAGUCAAUAUGUGACAACGUAUUAAAAAUUCAUGUAUCAUUAUAAUAACGGAUGUAAGACGUUCAUUGUAUGAAUGUAUCAUAUAUGAUAUGUGCGAGCGAACAUAGACAUACUCGUUAAGAGAUGAUUCCAAGACUUGAAAAUCGUACCAAAGUCGAAAUAUAUCUCAGUUGUCAAAAUAUAAAAAAACCGAUAGAUAUCACAAGAAGACUCUACAGUGAGUGAGGGAUGCUUGUUACAUAAAUAUUCUCAGAACCUAAAUGGUUUUCUACUUUACCAAGUGGUCUACGCCGUAAUUAUUUUCUUAUGAAAAGAAUCAAUGUCAGAAAAGUUAUCUUUAUUAUUUACGUAAUCCAGGUACAGUUUUACACCAGGCUCAAAAGGGUAUGUUGUUUAACAUAAUAAUAUAUAUUCCUGUAUCUACAUAGUCCCACUGGUAUCUUUAUUCCAAUGAGCUCAACUCUGCCCUAAUCAUACAAAAGUUUGUUACACAGUACCUUACAAUUCACAUUUAUUAAGUAGUGAGUAAGACAAUCACAGAGCUUUAAGUAAAUUAUCAUUUAAAAUGAGCAUUUAUCCCAAGGUCCGAUUUAUAAUACGGAAAUUGCUAUGAAUAAGG